UGUGUCAUGUUGGCAGGGUGAUGGAUGUACCAUGGGGCAAGUCUGUCUGCUGAAUGGUGUGGACGGAAGAGCGACAAUAAUUAUGGGGUUGGUCAAAGGUUGAAAGAAAUCUCUUAUGUGUCUUCGGUCUCGACACCACGUGUAGGUUCAUGUGAUGUGGCGUAUAAAAGGUCGAAUGUCAAGACGAUCAGGUGAAUGUAUCCAAAAAUAUUCUUUUGUGGAACUAUAUAUGUUCUUUGUCUCACACUGCUGUUGUGGCUUUCUUUUCUUGUAUGAAAAGUACACUAUCUAUCUAAACUUGAUGUGGAUUGAUCGACCUUGCUCGCUUUUGGCACAAGUAUAUAUUUCCAUUUCCUA